rnacentral:tRNA from 1 species
GCCUGGGUGGCUCAGUCGUUAAGUGUCUGACUUCAGCUCAGGUCGUGAUCUCUGUUUGUGAGUUCAAGUCCCGCAUCAGGCU